GAUGAACGCUAGCUACAGGCUUAACACAUGCAAGUCGAGGGGCAUCAGGAAGAAAGCUUGCUUUCUUUGCUGGCGACCGGCGCACGGGUGAGUAACACGUAUCCAACCUGCCCUUUACUCGGGGUAUAGCCUUUCGAAAGAAAGAUUAAUACCCGAUAGCAUAAUGAUUCCGCAUGGUUUCACUUAUUAAAGGAUUCCGGUAAAGGAUGGGGAUGCGUUCCAUUAGGUUGUUGGUGAGGUAACGGCCCACCAAGCCUUCGAUGGAUAGGGGUUCUGAGAGGAAGGUCCCCCACAUUGGAACUGAGACACGGUCCAA
rnacentral:rRNA from 1 species